UCCUAAGCGGCCUCCACAAGCUCUGGGCGCAGGGCCUGACACGAGGCUCCAUUUCACAAACCGUGAGAUCACGAGCUAAGCCGAAACCAACAGUCAGAUGCUUAACCGACUGAGCCACCCAGGAGCCCCUUAACUGCUGUUUUCCGUCAACCUUAUUACCAUUUUGUGUUUAGGAGUCUGUGAAAGAAUAGCUUAAGACAAUGCAGUGGCUGUUCCUACCCGGCAGGGUCUGCAGGGUCAUCUCAGUCGCCUGCUCAGGGCUCCAAUUGUCCUCAAAGAACUGCUGAAUAGGCCCAGAGGGCACUGCACGCCUUCAGGUGAAUCUGCAACCUCGGACUGAGUAGCAGUAAAUUCGGGAGCUGGAGCAGUUCAGUCACCCUAAAAUUCCUCCUUGGUCACAGUCUUUUCAGCAGUGGUCUGCUCUUCCUUUUCUACCUUUUCAGGAUCUUCUCCGUAGAAGGAGAGCUGGAGCCUGAGCUCCCGCAAGUGUUCACGGGAGAUGGCGCUGUACAUGCGCAGAAACUCCGGGACCAGCAUGCACCACAUCAGUCCCACUAAAUGAGCUUUUCCUCUCUCCUUGUCUCUCUCUCUCUCUCUCUCUCUCUCUCUCUCUCUCUCUCUCUCUCUCUCUGUCUUUUUUCUCUCUUUUUUUUCUCUUUUUUUUUUUUUUUUCUUGCAAGAGACAGCAAUGCCUGCAUAGUGCCAAGAAGAGUCUGGGUUACACAGAGCAAAGAAGUCAACCCACCUAACUGGAUUCCUGCUGCAAGGAAUUUGAGGACACCCUCCUCCUUCAUUUGCAGAACAUCAAGGGCUCCAGGGAGGGUGACGUUUCCCCUUCAACUUACAAUGGGAAUCCAGAACAAUGCCAUAUGGACUCCUUUCUGGUGAACGUUGAGUGAGCUUGGCUUCAAAGCAAGCAUGAUGAACAAGAAACAUGGCUAGUGGACAAGAGGAGGAAACGAGGACCAUACGAGAGAGCUUAGAGGAAAGAACAUGAGGGCAAAGUGGCUGUCUGCAAGUCAGGAAGAGACCUCUCAACAGAAACUGACUCUGCUAGAACUUAAUUUGGAACAUCUAUGCUCCAGAAUUGUUGAGAAAAUAAAUUCCUGUUGUUGAAGCCACUCAGUCUACAGUAUUUUGUUAUGGCAGCCUGAGCCACACCAAGAUGUUCCCAAUAUGCCACUUUUAAGCAAAGGAUAUGAGUUGGAGAAAAACAGAAAAUCAUAUUUUAAUUGGGCUGUGAAGUUGGAUGCAGGCCUACAAGAACUCAUAGGAAAAAGCUGCUGCUGGAUUUCUGAACUUAAUCUGCCAAGAACUUCCGUGCAACACAUGCUCACUGCAGUUUUCAAGUGAUUGCCAGUUGCUGAACUCUUUGUACACGUUUGCAAUUCAUUGUGUUACCCCCUUACUGCUGUUUCUGGCAUCUGCUCUGACUGCUGGAUUUUCGGCACAGAGAAGCAUCAUAAAGGUUAUCUUCCCCAAGUCCAGUCAAUAUACAUUCAUGAAGCAGGAUAACCACAACAAAAAUAUGUGUUAAAAAAGAAAAAAUACAUGAAGAAACAGAAACUCUCUUCAUUACUGGGAAGAAUGCAAAGUAGGAAAGCCACUCUAGAAGACAGUUUGGCAGUUUCUUACAAAAGUAAGCAUACUCUUACCACAUGACCCAGCAAUCGUGAUCCUUGGUGUUUAUCCAAAUGAGCUGAAAACGUAUGUCCACAUAAAAACCUGCAUAUGAAUUAUUCAUAAUUGCCAAAACCUGGAAGCAACCAAAAUGACCUUCAAUAGGUGAAUGGCUAAACAGACUGGUGCAUCUAUAAAUGGAGUAUUAUCCAGGAAUUUUUUUAAAGGAGCCAUCAAGCCAUUAAAAGACAUGGAAAAAUCUUAAAUGCAGAUUGCUAAGUGAAAAAGAAGGCCAUUCUGAAAAUGCUACAUGCCAUAUGACAACUGUAUGACAUUCUGGAAAAGGCAAAACUGGUGACAGUAAAAAGAUUAGUUACCAGGGGCUAGGGCUGGGCCAGGGUGGGUGGAGGUUUGAAAAAGAAAGGAGGCAUGAAUAGGUGGAGCACAGGAAUUUUUAGGACAGUGAAAAAGAAACUAUUCUGUGUGAUAUUAAACUGGUGUCUGCAAGUCAUUAUAUAUUCGUCAAAACCCACUGAAUGUACAUUACAAAGAGUAAGCCCUAAUGCACACUAUGAAAUUUAGUUAAUAAUGUAUUAAUAUUGGCUCAUCAAUUAUAACAAAUGUACCACAGUAAUGGAAGAGGUUAAUAAUAGGUCAAACUGGGGUGAGGAAGGCUUUGGGAUGAAGGAACACAGAGGAAAUCUCUAUACUUUUAGCUCAAUUUUUUCUGUAAACCUAAAACUGCUCAAAAAAGAAGUCUAUUUUUCUUUCAAAGAGAAUACUAGGGAAUUCAGCAAUCAUAGUCCAUUAAAACAAUGCCCUCCUACUGAGCUGGCACUGUAUAAAACCUUGACCUGGUAAUAGAAGGAAUCCCCAGAUUAGUUAGGAUUCUGCUCUGUGGGAGAAUGUACGUGCGUUCCUUGAUCAUGAUGUUCAGAGGCUGCUGAAUUUGCCUUCUGAGAGAUUCCUUCUUCUCUGCCACCCUCCAUGGCACAUUUGAGAUGAACAUUGUGUGUAUGUCUUCCUUACAGAUCAGAAAGUCCAAAGCUUUCUCAGGUGAGGCUUAAGAUAUCCUUAGCAGUACAAGUGCCUCAAAAAUGAAGUAGGUUUUUGGUCUGUUUAUUUCCUGUCCCAUCCAAGUGUCAGUAGCCCAUACUCAAAAUAAUUUCUUAGAGAUAAUCCUUCAGCCUGUUUUUUUUAACUUCCUUGCAGGGUGUGUGUAUGUGUGUGUAUGUGCGUGUGUGUGUGUGUGUGUGUGUGUGUGUGUGUACACUUAAUGAUAGCUACCUUAAGGACAUCUAAAAUAAUUGGGUAAGGAGUGCCUGAGUGGCUCAGUUGGUUGAGCGUCCAACUUCAGCUUAGUUCAUGAUCUCAUGAUUUGUGAGUUUGAGCCCCACAUUGGGCUCACUGCUGUCAGUGCAGAGCCUGCUUUGGAUC